AUUGAACGCUGGCGGCAGGCCUAACACAUGCAAGUCGAGCGAGUGGCGGACGGGUGAGUAAUGUCUGGGAAACUGCCUGAUGGAGGGGGAUAACUACUGGAACCGGUAGCUCAUACCGCAUACCAUCAGAUGUGCCCAGAUGGGAUUAGCUGGUGGGUGGGGUAACGGCUCACCAAGGCGACGAUCCCUAGCUGGUCUGAGAGGAUGACCAGCCACACUGGAACUGAGACACGGUCCAGACUCCGACGGGAGGCAGCAGUGGGGAAUAUUGCACAAUGGGCGCAAGCCUGAUGCAGCCAUGCCGCGUGUGUGAAGAAGGCCUUCGGGUUGUAAAGCACUUUCAGCGAGGAGGCGUUACUCGCAGAAGAAGCACCGGCUAACUCCGUGCCAGCAGCCGCGGUAAUAC
rnacentral:rRNA from 1 species